rnacentral:rRNA from 1 species
CAAUAGCGUAUAUUAAAGUUGUUGCGGUUAAAAAGCUCGUAGUUUGAUUUCAGUGACGUCGCGUGUCGGCCCUUCUGUCGAUCUAUUAUGAACACAGGUUGGUGUCAGAUAUGUAGCGAAUGACUUCUUUGCGACUCUCUACCUGACGGUACUGAAGUGGCACUGAUAAAGUCUCGCUUUCACGACGUUACCUACUCUCUUUUUACCCGACUGCACUUUAUUGUGUGGCGCGUAGAGUGAGAGUAUUACUUUGAGGAAAUUAGGGUGUUUCAGGCAGAGCAUUGUCUCGAAUACAUUAGCAUGGAAUAAUACGAUAGGACUAUGGUUCUAUUUUGCUGGUUUUUAGAAUCUAAGUAAUGAUUAAUAGAAACAGUCGGGGGCGUUCGUACUUAACUGCUAGAGGUGAAAUUCUUGGAUUUGUUAAAGACGAUCUACUGCGAAGGCAUUCGCCAAGGAUGUUUUCAUUGA